GACGAACGCUGGCGGCGUGCCUAAUACAUGCAAGUCGAACGCUGAAGAGAGGAGCUUGCUCUUCUUGGAUGAGUUGCGAACGGGUGAGUAACGCGUAGGUAACCUGCCUUGUAGCGGGGGAUAACUAUUGGAAACGAUAGCUAAUACCGCAUAACAAUGGAUGACACAUGUCAUUUAUUUGAAAGGGGCAAUUGCUCCACUACAAGAUGGACCUGCGUUGUAUUAGCUAGUAGGUGAGGUAAUGGCUCACCUAGGCGACGAUACAUAGCCGAGCUGAGAGGGUGAUCGGCCACACUGGGACGGAGACAAGGCCCAGACUCCUACGGGAGGCAGCAGUAGGGAAUCUUCGGCAAAGGGGGCAACCCUGACCGAGCAACGCCGCGUGAGUGAAGAAGGGUUUCGGAUCGUAAAGCUCUGUUGUAAGUCAAGAACGGGUGUGAGAGUAGAAAGUUCACACUGUGACGGUAGCUUACCAGAAAGGGACGGCUAACUACGUG
rnacentral:rRNA from 1 species